rnacentral:rRNA from 3 species
UCUCCGUAGGUGAACCUGCGGAG